rnacentral:rRNA from 1 species
AGGGUUUGAUCAUGGCUCAGAACGUACGCUGGCGGCACGCCUAACACAUGCAAGUCGAACGAAGUAGCAAUACUUAGUGGCAGACGGGUGAGUAACAUGUAGGUAUCUGCCCUUUGGCCUGGAAUAACACGAGGAAACUUGUGCUAAUACCGGAUAAGUCUUUACAGAGAAAGCUUUAUGCACCAUUGGAUGAGCCUGCACUUGAUUAGUUUGUUGGUGGGGUAAUGGCCUACCAAGACUGUGAUCAAUAGCUGAUUUGAGAGGAUGAUCAGCCACAUUGGGACUGAGACACGGCCCAAACUCCUACGGGAGGCAGCAGUGGGGAAUCUUGCACAAUGGAGGAAACUCUGAUGCAGCGAUGCCGCGUGAGUGAAGAAGGCCUUUGGGUUGUAAAGCUCUUUCGUCGGGGAAGAAAAUGACUGUACCCGAAUAAGAAGGUCCGGCUAACUUCGUGCCAGCAGCCGCGGUAAUACGAAGGGACCUAGCGUAGUUCGGAAUUACUGGGCUUAAAGAGUUCGUAGGUGGUUGAAAAAGUUGGUGGUGAAAUCCCAGAGCUUAACUCUGGAACUGCCAUCAAAACUUUUCAGCUAGAGUAUGAUAGAGGAAAGCAGAAUUUCUAGUGUAGAGGUGAAAUUCGUAGAUAUUAGAAAGAAUACCAAUUGCGAAGGCAGCUUUCUGGAUCAUUACUGACACUGAGGAACGAAAGCAUGGGUAGCGAAGAGGAUUAGAUACCCUCGUAGUCCAUGCCGUAAACGAUGUGUGUUAGACGUUGGAAAUUUAUUUUCAGUGUCGCAGCGAAAGCGAUAAACACACCGCCUGGGGAGUACGACCGCAAGGUUAAAACUCAAAUGAAUUGACGGGGACCCGCACAAGUAGUGGAGCAUGUGGUUUAAUUCGAAGAUACGCGCAGAACCUUACCAACACUUGACAUGUUCGUCGCGACUUUAAGAGAUUGAAGUUUUCGGUUCGGCCGGACGAAACACAGGUGCUGCAUGGCUGUCGUCAGCUCGUGUCGUGAGAUGUUGGGUUAAGUCCCGCAACGAGCGCAACCCUCACUUUUAGUUGCCAUCAUUAAGUUGGGCACUCUGAAAGAACUGCCAGUGAUAAGCUGGAGGAAGGUGGGGAUGACGUCAAGUCCUCAUGGCCCUUACGUGUUGGGCUACACACGUGCUACAAUGGUAUCUACAACAGGAAGCAAGACUGCGAAGUUAAGCAAAUCCUCAAAAGAUACCUCAGUUCGGAUUGCACUCUGCAACUCGAGUGCAUGAAGCUGGAAUUACUAGUAAUCGUGGAUCAGCGUGCCACGGUGAAUGCGUUCCCGGGUCUUGUACACACCGCCCGUCACACCAUGGGAGUUGGUUCUACCUUAAGGCAAGGUUUAAAACCCUUGACCACGGUAUAGUCAGCGACUGGGGUGAAGUCGUAACAAGGUAACCGUA